rnacentral:tRNA from 1 species
GUCCUCGUAGCUUAACACCUAAAGCAUGACACUGAAGAUGUCAAGAUGGCUACCCUAUGCCCGAGGACA